rnacentral:lncRNA from 1 species
CUCCACUGCCACCGCCGCUCAUGGCGUCGUACGUUGAUAUCUAUAUAUAUAUAUAAACAUGAUAAAUAAGGGCUUAGGUGUCAUGUUAUAAGGACUUGGGAAAUGAUGUGGCAUCACCAUAGGGCUUCUUGAAAUUGGUUUUGGCUCCAAAAAAUUCCACCUUAUUUACUCGGGUUUAGCGGGAUCCGACAAACAUGGUUCCGACCCGCCCAUCUAAGAAAAUGGAUCCAUUAUAUUUCCUUUUUCCUCAUUAUUCUUUCACAACCCUAAAGAAAUAGUUGCAGCUAUCUCUCCCUCCUACCGCCACCACCAAGAUCCCUCCUAAGUUCCACAAAAUCUCACCCAUUUCCCAUUCGCCCAUUCAUUGUUCACUCUAAAAACCCUAGCGGCCUUCCUCAUGUUUUCUCUGCAGAUUCAUAUGUUGAAGAGUUUUACAAUCACAAAACCCUAGCCUUCAUCAUCUUACGAUUCUAAUUCAAGACAAUGAUUAGGGUUUUCUUCUGAACACAAAGGAGUGUCGCUUUUUCAUUCAAUUUUGCUUACUGGAUGUAAUUUCGGUAGCCCGACAAGUAGAUAGGCUUUCUAAGCUUUCCUAGCGAAGUUGAAACUGUUGGUUAUGGCAUAGAGAUAUGGACAUAAAGAGAACCAGGGGGAUGUUGUGUUGCUGCCUUUUUUUUCUUCUGCUUUGGUUCUACGGCUGAGGCUGGAUUUAAAGAGCCACAACGCCGAGCCGUAUCCAUUGACUUAAUACAUUCAGGUUCAAUAAGCUGUUAGCCUGAUUCACAACAUGUUUAAGUGGCAUGGUUACAACUUUUUACCGUUCAUUCAGUUUGCUCCUUUAAGUUUCAGAUAUCCAAUAUGUGCAGGAUUUGAUAUUCGCUUAUGUGCAUGAUUUACGCUUUAGUUGCAUACUCGCUUUUAUUAUUAAGUGAACUAUUUUCACAAUUUCUUUUUGGCCGACUUUGAUUGUUUCAAUCAAUAGGUGUUUAGGAGUUGUGUGGAUGGUUAAAAGUAACAAUUGCAAGCAGCGUGGAGAGACAUAUCAUGGGAUCCAGCCAGGCUGACAAGUCUAUGUAGCAUAAGAUAGCAUCACGCCUUAAUGUGCAUUUUUUUUCACCCCAAAGUGUAUUUGAGUAAUAACUUUAGUGGUCUAAAAUGCUAUGAAGGAGACUCACUUUGAAAAUGAAAGAGAAUGUAACCAAGUUCCAUCGAGAAAUGAAACAAAGGCUGAAUACCGAAUGUGAAAAGGAAAUAGCGGAAAUUGUUGCUGAAAUAAGGCUCAAGUAUUCAGCUAAACAUGUAGAAGCAGAUGCAGCUUAUAACUCAAAAAAGAUGGAUCUUGAGACCAAUAUCAAUAGAGUAAUCUUGAACAGAUUAUUGGCCAAAGCUUUCAGAUGUAGGGGUCAAGACUCUCGGGCUGAAAUAAUGCAGCAACUGCCUAGGUUAUUGGUUUCACCUUCUGUGAGGAUUUUCCAUGGUCAGUCUUUAUGAAUCCAGCAGCCUCCACAACCACCAUCGUCACGGCCACCUCUUAAUGUAGUUCACAAACCAGCAGCUCUGUUCUCAACCACACCGAGCAGGCUACGACCACUACCUGCUCUCUUGCAUUAGCUACUAUACUGAUGUCACUCUUCUGAUCAACCGAUCGAGGCUCCUCUGUAUUUUCGCAGUACGCAACCCACAGGGCACCACUACUGUUCUAUGCCACGAACAAAGGCUUCACCAUGUCAUUAGUGGAGAAACGGUUCGGUGCUCCAUAUGAUACAACCUUUUUUCGCUUAGUAAUGAGGUUUACAAUGCAAUGCACUGAUGGAAAACAUCAUAAGAAACCUUGAUUUUGACUUCCGGAGGUUUUGGAAGAUGGUGUUAAAGUGCUUAUAUAUGUUGGAGAAGAUUUCUUUCUUUGCAGCCCGGCUUGCCAUUUAAGCGCUUCAGUGACGUUUUGGUCAGGUUUUGUGGUGGUUCCGGCUAAAGCAGCGGGUGAAAGACUUCCGCAUAUCACAGAGAGAUUCAAGAACAUUUAAUAUUGUUUUGUAAUGUUUUGAAUAUAUUUUGUUUGCUGUACUAAAUGAAUGAAACUAUGCGUGUAUUUGGACCACAUAGCACCUUGCUAUGUGAAAAAACUUCCCAAAAAAAAGAAGCCUACUUGGUUUCAAAAAAGGAGCAACCAAACUCACCAGAAAGUUUAUAAAUUCAUAAUUAAUUUUCAUAGCCACACUCCUUUGACUUUUGAAAUCUUUUGACUUCUUAAUCAAUUUCUUUUUCUUGGGUAAGAUGUGUUACCUAAUGCAAAUUGGUAUUACUUAAUUUCCAUUUUGCUUCCCAUUUCACAUGACUUGUAUCAUUUGAACGUGAUUGAAAAUAAACAAAAGUGACUCACCUUUGACUUUUGAGCUCCUUUGACUUAUGAAAUUUCUUUUUAAUUUUUUUGGGCCAAUAUUCAUUAAGCAUGUGCAAAAGUGAAUCCCACUAAAUAAAGUAUACAUUAAACUAAUACUUCAUCUGUUUUAUUUUUUUUUUCUUUUUUUGAAGACUACCUGCUUUGUAAAGAAAAUUUUACUAUUCUCAAUCCUACACAUAGUACACAUUUAAAAAAAAUUACAUUUAUUGUUUACAUCAUUUUAAUGGCCAACCCGUGAGUAUUCAUGGGUGAUAACCUAUAUUAUUAUAUACGAUUAACAUUGAAUCAU